rnacentral:rRNA from 1 species
CUACGGGCGGCAGCAGUGAGGAAUAUUGCACAAUGGGGGUCACCCUGCUGCAUCCACGCCGCGUGGAGGAUGACGCAUUUCGGUGUGUAAACUCCUUUUAUAUGUCAAGAAAAUGACGGUAGCAUAUGAAUAAGCACCGGCUAACUCCGUGCCAGCAGCCGCGGUAGUACGGAGGGUGCAAGCGUUACUCGGAAUCACUGGGCGUAAAGGACGCGUAGGCGGGUUGGAAAGUCAGGUGUGAAAUCCUACAGCUUAACUGUAGCACUGCACUUGAAACUUCUAAUCUAGAGUAUGGGAGGGGGAGAUGGAAUUAGUGGUGUAGGGGUAAAAUCCGUAGAUAUCACUAGGAAUACCUAAAGCGAAGGCGAUCUCCUGGAACAUUACUGACGCUAAGGCGUGAAAGCGUGGGGAGCAAACAGGAUUAGAUACCCCAGUAGUC